AUUGAACGCUGGCGGCAGGCCUAACACAUGCAAGUCGAACGGCAACACGAAAAAGUUUUCUUCUUCGCGGAUGGGUGGCGGGCGGGUGAGAAGUGUCUGGUAAACUCUCCGAUUUAGGGGGAGAACGAGUAGAAACGGUUACUAAUAUAGCGUAACGUCGCUAGGCGUAAGAGGGGGACAUUUUGGCCUCUUGCGAUCUGAUGUGAGCAGAUGGGAUUUUCUAGUGGGUGGGGUAACGGCUCACCCAGGCGAGGAUCCCUAGCUGGUCUGAGAGGAUGACCAGCCACACUGGAACUGAGACACGGUCCAGACUCCUACGGGAGGCAGCAGUGGGGAAUAUUGGACAAUGGGCGCAAGCCUGAUGCAGCCAUGCCGCGUGGAUGAAGAAGGCCUUCGGGUUGUAAAGCACUUUUAGCGGGGAAGAAGGGAGUCAAGUUAAUACCAUGGUUUUUUGACGGUACCCGAAGAAGAAGCACCGGCUAACUCCGUG
rnacentral:rRNA from 1 species